ensembl:rRNA 5S_rRNA 5S ribosomal RNA
UAUAAAGAAAACAUUCAACCCCUGAAUGCACCCAAUCUUGUCUGAUCUUGGAAGCUAAGCAGGGUCAGACCUGGUUAGUACUUGAAUGGGAGAAAAUAUUCAGAAUUCAUUAUUU